rnacentral:rRNA from 1 species
CGGGUGAGUAAUACAUAAGUAACCUGCCCUAGACAGGGGGAUAACUAUUGGAAACGAUAGCUAAGACCGCAUAGGUACGGACACUGCAUGGUGACCGUAUUAAAAGUGCCUCAAAGCACUGGUAGAGGAUGGACUUAUGGCGCAUUAGCUGGUUGGCGGGGUAACGGCCCACCAAAGCGACGAUCAGUAGCCGACCUGAGAGGGUGACCGGCCACAUUGGGACUGAGACACGGCCCAA